ACUGAGCAGCAUGGUUCCAAAGGACAGCAAAAGCACUUUACUGCCUUAGAAGGAGGGGAGGCUUUGCCAGGCCUAUGAAACCCUCAUCUGGAUCUGGCCUCCAGGGCAGCCUCCUGCCUGCCUCUCUGGUGAGGCUCAGCUUCUGCUCUGCCUCACCAGCUCCCCUCCAGUUCCCCUCACUCUGAGGGUGCAGGGAGCAGGGUCCCACGGGAGCAUUGGUGUGAGAGGGAGCUCCCAGCACCGAGGGAGAAGCAGGACUCACUGACCAAACCAUGUGUUUGUGCUGGAAGGGCCUCACUGCAAACAUGCUCAUCUUAUGGAAGAAGAAAGGAGGUUCAGAGAGGGAAAGGCUUGCCUGAGGUCACACGCCCGCUGAAUAUGGACUCCAACGGUGCCCUAGGGGAUGGUGGAGCCACCAGAUGGAAGGAGCCUGGUGAUCCCGAGAAGGAGAGAUGCCUCGCUGACCUGAACAUCUUUCCAGAACUGUUAAAUGAAGCCUGCAGGACACCAGCUGACAGUGGAAGGACUGAGGAAGGUUGUAUAAUUUUGUGCAAGGUCCACCACAAAUCCAGCUGAAGAACUGCUCCAAAGUUUAGGUCAUGGCAAGAACAAGACUGGAUCACUCCAUGUCAGUGGAAACAUGUCCACCAACUUCAUCAUUGUCUGUUGUCAUGGUUCACUUUAGAUGUAAACUUGACUGGAUUAAGGAUUCCCUAAAGUGUCAGGCCUCUGAGCCCAAGCUAAGCCAUCAUAUCCCCUGUGACCUGCAUGUACACAUCCAGAUGGCCGGUUCCUGCCUUAACUGACGACAUUCCACCACAAAAGAAGUGAAA
rnacentral:lncRNA from 10 species